GCCAUCACAAUCAGUAUGAGACGGUUGAGAGAAGCUUGCUUCUCUUGAGAGCGGCGGACGGGUGAGUAAUGCCUAGGAAUCUGCCUGGUAGUGGGGGAUAACGUUCGGAAACGGACGCUAAUACCGCAUACGUCCUACGGGAGAAAGCAGGGGACCUUCGGGCCUUGCGCUAUCAGAUGAGCCUAGGUCGGAUUAGCUAGUUGGUGAGGUAAUGGCUCACCAAGGCGACGAUCCGUAACUGGUCUGAGAGGAUGAUCAGUCACACUGGAACUGAGACACGGUCCAGACUCACUACGGGAGGCAGCAGUGGGGAAUAUUGGACAAUGGGCGAAAGCCUGAUCCAUUUCCAUGCCGCGUGUGUGAAGAAGGUCUUCGGAUUGUAAAGCACUUUAAGUUGGGAGGAAGGGUUGUAGAUUAAUACUCUGCAAUUUUGACGUUACCGACAGAAUAAGCACCGGCUAACUCUGUGCCAGCAGCCGCGGUAAUACAGAGGGUGCAAGCGUUAAUCGGAAUUACUGGGCGUAAAGCGCGCGUAGGUGGUUUGUUAAGUUGGAUGUGAAAUCCCCGGGCUCAACCUGGGAACUGCAUUCAAAACUGACUGACUAGAGUAUGGUAGAGGGUGGGUGGAAUUUCCUGUGUAACGGUGAAAUGCGUAGAUAUAGGAAGGAACACCAGUGGCGAAGGCGACCACUCGGACUAAUACUGACACUGAGGUGCGAAAGCGUGGGGACGAAACAGGAUUA
rnacentral:rRNA from 1 species